rnacentral:rRNA from 1 species
GAGUUUGAUCCUGGCUCAGGAUGAACGCUGGCGGCGUGCUUAACACAUGCAAGUCGAACGAACCUUCGGGUUAGUGGCGGACGGGUGAGUAACGCGUGAGAAUCUGCCCUCAGGAGGGGGAUAACGGUUGGAAACGACCGCUAAUACCCCAUAUGCCGCGAGGUGAAAUGAAUUUCGCCUGAGGAUGAGCUCGCGUCUGAUUAGCUAGUUGGUGUAGGUAAUGGCUCACCAAGGCAUCGAUCAGUAGCUGGUCUGAGAGGAUGAUCAGCCACACUGGGACUGAGACACGGCCCAGACUCCUACGGGAGGCAGCAGUGGGGAAUUUUCCGCAAUGGGCGAAAGCCUGACGGAGCAACGCCGCGUGAGGGAUGAAGGCCUCUGGGCUGUAAACCUCUUUUCUCAAGGAAGAAGAUCUGACGGUACUUGAGGAAUAAGCCACGGCUAAUUCCGUGCCAGCAGCCGCGGUAAUACGGGAGUGGCAAGCGUUAUCCGGAAUUAUUGGGCGUAAAGCGUCCGCAGGCGGCCCUUCAAGUCUGCUGUUAAAGCGUGGAGCUUAACUCCAUCAUGGCAGUGGAAACUGUUGGGCUUGAGUGUGGUAGGGGCAGAGGGAAUUCCCGGUGUAGCGGUGAAAUGCGUAGAUAUCGGGAAGAACACCAGUGGCGAAGGCGCUCUGCUGGGCCAUCACUGACGCUCAUGGACGAAAGCCAGGGGAGCGAAAGGGAUUAGAUACCCCUGUAGUCCUGGCCGUAAACGAUGAACACUAGGUGUCGGGGGAAUCGACCCCCUCGGUGUCGUAGCCAACGCGUUAAGUGUUCCGCCUGGGGAGUACGCACGCAAGUGUGAAACUCAAAGGAAUUGACGGGGGCCCGCACAAGCGGUGGAGUAUGUGGUUUAAUUCGAUGCAACGCGAAGAACCUUACCAGGGUUUGACAUCCUGCGAACCUCUUGGAAACGAGAGGGUGCCUUCGGGAACGCAGUGACAGGUGGUGCAUGGCUGUCGUCAGCUCGUGUCGUGAGAUGUUGGGUUAAGUCCCGCAACGAGCGCAACCCACGUCUUUAGUUGCCAGCAUUUAGUUGGGCACUCUAGAGAGACCGCCGGUGAUAAACCGGAGGAAGGUGUGGAUGACGUCAAGUCAUCAUGCCCCUUACAUCCUGGGCUACACACGUACUACAAUGCUACGGACAGAGGGCAGCAAGUUCGCGAGGACAAGCAAAUCCCGUAAACCGUAGCUCAGUUCAGAUCGUAGGCUGCAACUCGCCUACGUGAAGGAGGAAUCGCUAGUAAUCGCAGGUCAGCAUACUGCGGUGAAUACGUUCCCGGGCCUUGUACACACCGCCCGUC